AGUGGAAGCUGGGGUGUCGGCGGGCGGCCGCGGCCGGGUCUAGCGGUGCCUGCGGAAGAAGGAGGAGGAGGGCUGGCGAUGAGAAGCAGCAGGGGGAAUCAAGGGCAAGAAGGGACCCAGAGGGGCAGGUGGCUGAGAUGCUGGCGUCCAGGUGACCCGAGGAAUCCUCUGGAGAUACAGGCGCCGCCGCCUCCCGGUGCAGCUGAAAGUCGACGAAGAGGGCGGGGCGGGGGCGGCUUGUGGACUUCCACACUUUUCCUCUCUUCGGGCCAGUCUGGGGAGAGGGUGGCUAGCUGUGGCGGCGGCCAAUUACGUGGCGGACCUGCGGGGCUAAGCUGGCACGUCACUUCCGACUAGUGGAGUUUUUAGCCUUUUAACAUUCAAGGAUUAGGUAAAAGUCUUGCAGUGAAAAACCCGAGGACCCUUACCGCAAGUGUCUUUUGCUCCCAGCUACUGAUACUGGAUUCCACUCGUGAUUCUCCCUUUCUUAGCGCAUUCAUGAUAUAGACAUCAGUCUCUGAGCUGGAGGAGGACAAAGGCAGCGGUCCUGUGAAUUCUAUGCUCUAGCUUGGGUUAAGGGAUUUGGAAUUGCACUUGUUUCAGAGAGCUCCCUCUUUGCCCACUAGCAGGGCAUUAGCUGGUGCUGAAGACAGUGGCUGCUUGGCGAGCCUGGAUCUCCAAGUGACCCCCUCAGCAACUCCUGAUGAACAGGACUGAAGCCAAUAUUAAAGCAAGUCAACCAAAGGUUCUCUGGUGUAGACAAGACAGCAAAAGGACAGACUACCUUGUGGAACCUAGCAUUGUUCUCCUUCUGCAGCACUAAGUAACAUUUGUUCUCCGUUAAGAUCUUUGCAAACCACACACAAGAAUUGCUGGUCAUCCUGCCAAUAGAUGCUGCUCACAGAACCAAAUUUCCUGUGCUGAAUUGUCACUCAUGGGCUUGAGAGUAGGAGACUGGAGACCAAGGUGGCUAGAAUCCAGUUGGGCCUGAUGUCUCCCUGUUGAAAGGGCUCCUUGUGGAAUGAAUAGCACAUGGCUCCUGUGGUGGAUCUGAUAGUGGCAUAGCACCAAGUGAUGCAGGCCUGCCAGGGGCCACAGACACAGAAGAUGCUCCCGGGGUCCCCCAUGUACUCCAGACACACUGCAGGCCACCUCUCCCAGCAGGUUGCCAGUCAUGGGCCCCAUCAUCAUGACUUCUGUCCAAGGUACUGUGUGCAGAAAUGUGAUUGAGAUUCAAGUCAGGGCCUCUCUGCCCUUUUCCCUCCAGAAACAAAACCAAGAUAAUUUAUCCUGAACACGGUGAAAAAAGGAAGGGAGGGAGGAGAAAAAGUCCGGGUCUCACCUGGGAUUCUCUGUCUCCUGCAACAUGAAGGAUUUAGCCUGGGAGGAGGUGGUGAGAACUCUGGGAGAGAAAAAAGAAGGAAAGAAUAGUUUUACCCAUGCUGAAGUUAAUUUAAACCUUCACCUAGAGAAGCAAAAAAAAAAAACCCACACUUUCCCAUUUUGUGCCUCCCUUCCUAGAGUUUUAGCCAAAGGUUUAGCUAAGUAAUUGGUUUUACCAGCGCACUCACUCCUCCUAUCCCAAGUCUGUUUGACUCCCUCCCCAUCAUCCUCCUCACCUCUUUUCAGGCAGGGUGGGGAUAGCAGCAGGAGGAGAUUUUGGGAGCCUGGCAACUCCUGCAAGGACCGCAGGACAGCCCCUCUGUGGGGAUGCGUGGUGCCCCAUCUGCCGCCCUUCUGAAGAAUGCACUGCCUUCACUUUUUACUGUGUUAGAGUCCAUCCAGACUGUUCUAUCCAAAAAAGUUUCUUUUUCCCCCACAGGCAAUCAGGAAAUGAUUCCUUUCCCGACUGCUUCUGUCUAGUGCCUGGGAAUCUUGAGUCAAUCCCUCAGUAAGUCAGUGACUAGGGAAAUCCCUCUCUGAGCCUCCCAGUUCAUGUUGCUUAGGGAACCUGAUAUUUUCGUGAAACCUGCCUACACAUGGGCAGCCCAACAGCAGAACAAAUGGUGGUGACCAAAGUGAACAAAGAAGUAUAGUUGUGCCAGCUUCGUAGUUGCCCAUGUGGACAAGUCAGCAGGAUCAGGACACGAGGAAGAGUAAAUGUGAGACAGUCAAUGUGACUUCUGCGAUAAACAGAUUUUUAAACCCCGAAAUUUUGCAAAAUUUUGGUGAAACCUGAACUUUCUUCGUUGCAUAUACUGGCACUAUCUGUACCAUCAUACAACUGUCUCACAUUAAAGCUAUUUUUCUUGGGCACUGAUGAGUAAGGUUGGUAUAAGUUCCUCAGAUCAACAAAAACCCAUUUUCCUGUAAGUCUUACAUUUAGUAUUUAAGGAACUAAAACUUAAAUACAUUUUGUGAAAUGGUUGACACUUCACUGAUAAUGAUUUAUUGCUUGGAUUAAUAAAUUUUCCAAAAGUUGUCUUAUGUAGAAUAUGGUUUGCAACCAGCAGAACCAUUAAUCUAUACUGCAAUGAUAUGCACUAUGUAUAAUUGUUUAAAAGCCUCUACUUAAUGAUGUAAAAUGCUCUAUUUAAUUACACAUUUGGGUAAACUGUAUACUAACAUCUGAUGGCAUUUUUCCACUGUUUGUUGCUUUUUUCAAAUACUUUAUUGUACAAAGCUGUUCUUAAUAUUUUUCAAGUUUUUUUCUUUGAAUUUUGCUAAUGUUUUCCUUGAAUUAUGAGCACUGACAGAAUGUGCUUAGCACUUUUGGCUAUUCACACAGCUUUUGAGCAUGAUUUGCAUCCAAUAUUUACAUUGCUAGCAAUAAUAAGCCAUCUGUGAGUUUUGUCAAAAGUUAUUGGGGAUUUUUUAAAUUUUAGAAAUGCAAAUUAUUGUUUCUUUGAACUAACUCUUAUGCAGUUGCAAAGGCAUUUCCAGUUGUUAUAGUUUGUGUACAAUAUCAGGUGUUCCAGAUUAUGAUUCAUUAUUAAUAUCAUUGCUUCCUUGUUCCCUCUGAGGUCCAGAAGAUUCAUGUUUACAAUAUUUAGAAACAAUGUUAAAAAGGUAUCCAAAGUUUGUCACUUUAUUAUUAGUUUGUUCUUAAUAUUCUGUUUAAGUUUUUGAAUUCAUAGAUAUCAAAACGCUGCACAAUUAUGAUUUCCACAGGAAUAACAACACACUAACAAUAAGAACCAAAAACAGCAAAUAGGCUGCCUACAAGUUUUGACAAUAUUAGGAUAAUGAUAAUGACAGUUUUUCUAAAUCUCACAGUAAAGAAUGCAGCAACCCAGCAACACUGCUACCUGUGGCCUCAGGCUGCAGUGUCAGCUCUUCCCUGGGUCUCCAGCCUGCCAGUCUAACCUGAAAAUUAUGUACUUGCCAGCCCCCACAGUCACGUGAGUGAACUGGCCCAGGCUGGUCACCAGGGUCAGUUUCUCUGUGUGUCAUUAAUUCAUUCAGUCUUCAGCAGUCUCUUUGGAGCUGAGAUGUACCUACCAUCUGCCUUUUGGGUGCUUAGGGUGGAGAACCAGAAAAGUAUAACCUAGUGUGUAUCCUCAAAGAGCUAACAAUAUGGGGUGGUACCUAUAGGUCUGGAAACACUUUACUGACUCUGUGAGGCAUACCAGGAGACGUCAGAGAACAGUCCCUCCUCAAAUGCCAAAUGAGAUGCAGAAGAAAUAGUUUGCUCAAGUUCAUGGGCCAGAUAUCCCAGUGGUCAGGGAGUUUCAUGAAUGAGAUGGAACUUUGCAUGGAACCCGAGGGAUGUGUAUGAUUUGAGUAGAUGAAGAAAAUGAGACUUUCCAAGCAGCUAGAAGUUAGGGAGCAGCAAGAUGUGUGGUGGGAUUGAGCACAGUUGGUUCAGAGGAUAGACUGCAGUUUUAAUAAUUUGUAGUAAAUAUCUCCCAACUGUUUGGCACUAUUGGAGCAAGUUCUUGAAUGCCAAAUGAAGGCAUAAAUCAGUAAGAGGCAUAAUAAAAGGCUGAGCAGUGCUUGGCUUUUUACGAACUGAUCCUGAUAGGAGCAGCUGUUCAACAAAGUUGCCAGGUCACCGUUACAUAGUCCCUGCCUUCUAGGGGCUCACUGCCUACUGGGAGAGACAGUCUGAAAGUUGGUGGAGCAUGUAACUGUUGGAUGAGGAGUUUGAGCCUGUGGACUGUGGGACCCCCGAGGAGGGUGUGGCUACUCUAGGCAGAACAAUCCCACAGUUUAUUUAUAUUUAACCUUGAAAUUCAUUAGAGGAUUUUUCAGCAGAGGUUUGGUACUUGUUAAUGUUAAGGUUUGCAUUCUCUAGAACCUCAAGGAAAGCUGUACCGUGCAUAAUGUACCCUCUUAUGUUAAUGUUGUGUACUGUGAUCCUGUUUCAGGGACUUGCACUUAGGAAUCUGUUACAGUGAGCACAGAAGCAGACCUGUGGGCUCAUAGUCUUCACCCCCCACCCAUAUAUACAAGAUGAACAGAGUGGAGGUUAAACAACUUGACUAAACAACACAGUUCAUGGUAAAGCCCAAGACUGUACCUGCCCAUCCACUGCCUUUUCCAUGUAUCCUGGAACUGAGCAUAGACCUCUUCCCAGGCAGAGCUGACAGCAAGUAAAGGAGAUCAUAAUCAGGGGACCAAACAACUUUGUCUAAAGUGUGAAUGUCACCUAAGGAGAAGCUGUGAGAUCAGAAGGGUGGGGCAGAGGAGCAGACACCAUGAGGGAGAGUCCUUGGGGGUACAUCUGCCAGACUGACACUGUCUGGCCUGGGCAGUGGAGGGGCUAGCAGGAACCACAGGUACUGGUGGUGUGGCUACUACCGUUACAACUGCCUGUGCUUGGACAUGGACCCUCUGCAAUAUGCGGCAGUUUCAUUCAUUGCCCCCUACAUUCUACACCAAGUAGAAAUGGAAGGCAAUUGGAUACUUCACAGACAAGAUCUAAGUGGAGAAGGAAUGCGUCCUGUGGCUGCAGAGAUCCUUGGAGCUUGGAGGGGAGAGCUUGAGCCCCACUGAUGAUGACCUCCCACAGCUCGCCAACUCAGCCCUCCCUAAGUCCCCAUCGGGGGCCAAUUCUCACUCUGGGGUUGGGGGGACUCCACCAUAGCUCAUCCAUCAUAGGGAUGUUGGUAUCUACUGUGGGUUGGGUAGGGCCGAUGUGCUGAGGAUGGCUCCCCCACAAGCAAGAGAUGUGGAUUUGGGGAGCUUCCCAUCUUGUGUUGAAGGAACAUAACUCAGAAUAAUAAGAGCCAACUAUAACAAACCCACAGCCAACAUCAUACUGAAUGGGCAAAAGCUGCAGGCAUUCCCCUUGAAAAGUGGCACAGGAUAAGGAAGCCCUUUCUCACCACUCCUAUUCAAUAUAGUGUUGAAAGUCCUGAUCACAGCAGUCAGGCAACAGAAAUAAUAAAGGGCAUCCAAAUAGGAAGAGAGGAAGUCAAACUAUCCUUGUUUGCAGACAGUAUGAUUCUAUAUCUAGAAAACCCCAUAGCCUCAGCCCAAAAGGUCCUUCAUCUGAUAAUUUCAGCAAAGUUUCAGGAGACAAAAUCAGUGUACAAAAAUCACUAACAUUCCUAUACACAGUCGCCAAGCCAAGAGCCAAAUCAGGAGCACAAUCCCAUUCAUAAUUGCCACAAAAAAGAAUAAAAUACCCAGGAAUGCAGCUAACCAAGGAAGUAAAGGAUCUCUACAAUGAGAAUCACAAACGCUGCUCAAAGAAAUCAGAGAUGACACAAACAAAUGGAAAAACUUUCCAUGCUCAUGGCUAGGAAGAAUCAAUAUCAUUAAAGUGGCCAUACUACCCAAAGCAAUUUAUAGAUUCAAUGCUAUUCCUAUCAAACUAUCAAUUACAUUUUUCACAGAACUAGAAAAAACUUAAAAUUCAUAUGGAACCAAAAAGCCUGAGUAGUCAAGGCAAUCCUAAACAAAAAGAACAAAGGUGGAGGCAUCACAUUACCUAACUUCAAACUACAGGGCUACCAUGACCAAAACAGCAUGGUACUGGUACAAAAGCAGACACACAGACCAGUGGGACAGAAUAGAGAGCCCAAAAAUAAGGCCACAAACCUACAGCCAUCUGAUCUUCAACAAAGUUGACAAAAACAAGCAAUGGGGAAAGGUCUCCCUAUUCAAUAAAUGGUGCUGGGAUAACUGGCUGGCCAUAUGCAGAAGAUCGUAACUGGACCCCUUUUACUAUGUACAAAAAUUAAGAUGGUUUAAAGAGUUAAAACCCAAAAUUAUAAAAAUCCUGAAGAUAACUUAGGCAAUACCAUUCUGGACAUAGGAACUGGCAAAUAUUUCAUGAUGAAGACACCAAAAGCAAUUGUAACAAAAGCAAAAAUGGACAAAUUGGAUUUAAGAGCUUUUUCAUAGCAAAAUAAACAACAGGGCAGACAAUCUACCAAAUGACAGAAAAUUUUUGCAAACUAUGCAUCUGACAAGGGGCUAAUAUCUAGCAUCUAUAAGGAAUUUAAACACAGUUACAGGAAAAAAAAAACCCACUCCAUUAAAAAAUGGGCAAAGGACAUGAACAGACACUUUUCAAAAAAGACAUACAUACAGCCAACUAGCGUGUUAAAGAAAACCUCAAUUAUCACUGAUCAUUAGAGAAAUGCAAAAUCAAAACCAUGAUGAGAUAUCAUCUGCCAGUCAGGAUGGCUACAAAAAAGUAAAAAAAUAAUAGAUGUUGGUGAGGUUAUGGAGAAAAGGAACUUAUACACUUGUUAGGAGUGUAAAUUAGUUCAAUCACUGUGGACAGCAGUGUGGUGAUUCCUCAGAGAGCUAAAAACAACUACCAUUUGACUCACCAAUCCCAUUACUGGAUAUUUACCUAAAGGAAUAUAAAUCAUUCCACCAUAAAGACACAUGCAAGUGUAUGUUCAUUGCAGCACUAUUAACAGUAACAAAGCUGGGCACAGUGGCUCACCUCACGACUGUAAUCCCAGCACUUUGGGAGGCUGAGGUAGGCGGAUCACCUGAGGUCGGCAGUUUGAGACCAGCCUGACCAACAUGGAGAGACCCCAUCUCUACUAAAAAUACAAAAUUAGCCAGGUGUGGUGGCUCAUGCCUGUAAUCCCAGCUACUUGGGAGGCCAAGGCAGGAGAAUUGCUUGAACCCAGGAGGCAGAGGUUGCAGUGAGCCGAGAUCACACCAUUGCACUCUAGCCUGGUGAAGGAGCAAGACUCCAUCUCAAAAAAAAAAAAAAAAAAGAAAGAAAGAAAAAUACACAUUCAGAGGAGACAAAAAAUAAAAAACAAUGAUGCAUGCCCACAGGAUCUAGAAAAUAACUUCUUAAGGGCAAAUCUAGGAGUUAUUGGCCUUAAAGAAGAGAUAGAGAAAGAGAUAGGAAUAGAAAGUUUGUUGAAAGGGAUAAUAACAUAGAACUUCCUAAACCUACAGAAAGAUAUUUAUAUCCAAGUACAAGAAGGUUAUAGAACACCAGGCCAAUUUAACCCAAAGAUUACCUCAAGGCAUUUAAUAAUCAAACUCCCACAGGACAAGGGUAAAGAAAGGAUCCUAAAAGCAGCAAGAGAAAAGAAACAGAUAACAUACAAUGGAGCUCCAAUACAUCUGGCAGUAUAUUUUUCAGUGGAAACCUUACAAGCCAGGAGAGAGUGACAUGACAUAUGUUAAAGUGCUGAAGGGAAAAAACCUUUUACCCUAGAAUAGUAUAUCCAGCAAAAAUAUCCUUCAAACAUGAAGAAUAAACAAAGACUUCCCCAGACAAACAAAAGCUGAGGGAUUUCAUCAACACUAGACUGGUCCCAUAAGAAACGCUUAAGGGAGUACUUUGGUCAGAAAGAAACAGACAUUAAUGAGCAACAAAGAAUCAUCUAAAGGUAAAAAACUCACUGUUAAGAGUAAGUACACAGAAAAACCCAAAGUGUGAUAACAUUGUAACUGUGGUGUGUAAGUAGAAAGAAUAAAUGAUAAACCAAUCAAAAAUAGUAACUACAACUUUUCAAGACCAGUCAGAAAAAUAAGAUAAAAUUAGAAACAACAAAAAGUUAAAAAGUGGGGGGAUGAAGUUAAGAUGUAGAGUUUUUAUUAGUUUUUUGUUUGUUAAUGCAAACAGUGUUACCAGGUUAAAAUAAUGGGUUACAAAAUAGUAUUUGUAAUCCUUAUGGUAACCUCAAACCUAAAAACAUACACUGGAUACAUAAAAAAUAAAAAGCAAAAACCUAAAUCAUAUCACCAGAGCAAACUACCUUCCCUAAAGGAAGACAGGAAGAAAAGAAAGAAGAAGACCACAAAACAACCAGAAAACAAAUAAAUAACAAGGCAGGAGUAAGUCUUUACUUAUCGAUAAUACAUUGAAUGGAAAUAUGGACUAAACUCUCCAAUCAAAAGACAUAGACUGGCUGAAUGAAUGGAGAAAACAAGACCCAUUGAUCUGUUGCCUACAAGAAACACACUUAAACUAUAAAGACACACAUAGGCUGAAAGUAAAGAGUUGGAAAGAGUUAUUCCAUGCCAAUGGAAACCAGGAAAAAGAGAAGGAGUAUUGAUUUUGAUACAAAAACUAUGAGACAAAUAAAGUCACUAUACAAUGAUAAAGGGGUUAAUAUGGUUUCCAUUUGUGCCCCACCCAAAUUUCGUGUUCUAUUGUAAUCCUCAAUGUUGGAGGUGGGGCCUGGUGGGACGUGAUUAGAUCAUGGGGGUGGAUCUUUCAUGACUAAUUCAGCACCAUCUUCUUAGUGCUGUUCUCAUGAUAGUGAGUUCUUCUGAAAUCUGGUUGCUUAAAAGUGUGUAGCACCUCUCCACACCACCCGCUUGCCUUGGUCUACUCCUGCUAUGUAGAUGCUUGCUCCCACUUUGCAUUAUUCCAUGAGUAAAAGCUCCCUCAGGCCUUCCCAGAAUCAGAUGCCGCUAUGCUUCCUGAACAGCCUGUGGAACUAUGAGCCAAUUCAACCUCUUUUCUUCAUAAAUUAACAAGUCUUGGGUAUUUCUUUAUAGCAGUGUGAGAACAGAAUAAUACAGAAAAUUGGUAAAGAGGAGUGAGGCAUUGCUAGAAAGAUACCUGAAAAUGUGGAAACAGCAGUGGAACUGGGAAAUAGACAGAGGUUGGAAGAGUGUGGAGGGCUCCGAAGAUAGGAAGAUGAGGGGAAGUUUGGAAUUUCUUAGAGAUUUGUUAAAUUGUUUUGACCAAAAUACUGAUGGUGAUAUGGACAAUGAAGUCCAGGCUGAGGAGGUCUCAGAUGGAGAUGAGGGACUUAUUGGGACCUGGAGUGAAGGUCACUUUUGUUAGGACAUUGUGGUUGGAGACAUUGUGCCCCUGCCCUAGGAAUCUGUGGAACUUUGAACUUGAGAGCGAAGAUUUAGGGUAUCUGGCAGAAGAAAUUUCUAAGCAGCAAAGCGUUCAAGACGUGGCCUGGCUGCUUCUGGUAGUCUGUGCUCAUAUUUGUGAGCAAAGACAUGACAAGAAACUGGAACUUAUAUUUAAAAAGGAAGCAGAGUGUAAAAGUUUGGAGAAUUUGCAGCCUGGCCAUGUUGUAGAAAAGAAAAAAACCAUUUUCUGGAGAGGAAUUCAAGCUAGCUGCAGAAAAUUGCAAGUAACAAGGAGCAAAAUGUUGAUAGCCAAGAUAGUGGGAAAAACACCUUGAAGGCAUUUCAGAUACCUUGGGGGCAGCCUCUCCCAUCACAGGCCCAAAGGCCUAGGAGGGAAGGAUGGUUUCCUGGGCCAGGCUCAGGGUCCUGCUGCCCUGCACAACCUCAGGAAACUGCUCUCCAAAUCCCAGCUGCUCCAGCUCCAGCUUCAGCUCAAAGGGCCCCAGGUAUAGCUCAGGCUGCUGCUCCAUAGGAUGCAAGUUAUAAGCCUUAGUGGCUCCCGUGUGGUGUUAAAUUAAGCCUGUAGGUGCACAGAGUGCAAGAAUUGAGGCUUGGGAGCCUCCAACUAGAUUUCAGAGUAUGUGUGGGAAAGCCUGGAUGUCCAGGCAGAAGCCAGCUGCAGGGACAGAGCCCUCAUGGAGAACCUCUACUAGGGUAGUGUGGAGGGGAAAUUUGGGGUUGGAGUUCCCACACAGCUUCCCCUCUGGUGUACUGCCUAGUGGAGCUGUGAGAAGACAGCCACUGUCCUCCAGAUUCCAGGAUGAUAGAUCUGCCAAUGACAGCUUGCACUGUACAACUGGAAAAGCCACAGGCAGUCAAUGCCAGCCCGUGAAAGCAGUGACAGUGGCUUACCCUGCAAAGUCCCAGGGGCUGAGCUGCCCAAGGCCUUGGGAGCCCACCCCUUGCACCAGUGUGCCCUGGAUGUGAGAUAUGGAGUCAAAGGAGAGUAUUUUGGAGCUUUAAGAUUUAAUGACUACCUGCUGGGUUUCAGACUUGCAUGGGUCCAGUAGCCCCUUUCUUUUGGCCAAUUUCUCACUUUUGGAAUGGGAGUGUUUACCCAAUUCCUGUACCCCCACUGUAUGUUGGAAGUAACUAACUGUUUUUUUAUUUUGUAAGCUCACAGGUGGGAGAGACUUGCCUUGUCUCAGGUUGAGACUCUGGACUUUGGACUUUUGAAUUAAUGCUGGAAUGAGUUAAGACUUUGAGGGACUGUUGGGAAGAUAUAACUGUAUUUUGCAGUAUGAGAAGGACAUGAGAUUUGGGAGACACCAGAGGUGGAAUAAUAUGAUUUGGAUCUGCAUCCCCACCAAAAUCUCAUGUUCAAUUGUAAUCCUAAAUUUUGGAGGUUGAGCCUGGUGGAAGAGGAUUGGAUAAUGGGGGUGGUUUCUCAUGGUUUAACACCAUCCCCCUGGGUGCUGUUCUCAUGACAGUGAGUGAGUUAUUGUGAGAUCUGAUUGUUUAAAAGUGUGUGCCACCUCCUCCCACUUUCCUCCUGCUCCAGCCAUGUAAGACAGGCUUGCCUCCCCUUCACCUUUUGUCAUGAUUGUAAGUGUUCUGAGGCCUCCCCAGCCAUGCUUCCUGUACAGCCUGCAGAACUGUGAGCCAAUUAAACCUCUUUUCUCUAUAUAUUACCCAGUCUCGGGUAUUUCUUUAUAGCAGUGCAAGAAUAGACUAAUACAGGGUUCAAUUCAGCAAGAGGAUAUAACAAAUAUAAAUAUAUAUGCACUCAACACUGCAGCACCCAGAUAUAUAAAGCAAAUACGAUUAGAGCUAAAGAGAGAGAGUGACCCCAAUACAAUAAUAGCUGGAGACUUCAACACCACAUUUUCAGCACUGGACAGAUCUUCCAGACAGAAAAUAAAAAAGAAACAUCAGACUUAAUCUGCACUGUAGAUCAAAUGGAUCUAAUACAUACUUGCAGAACAUUUUAUCCAAUGGCUGCAGAAUACACAUUCUUUUUUAGCACAUGUAUCAUUCUCAAGGAUAGACCAUAUGUUAGGUCACAAGUCUUAAAACAUUAAAAAAGUUGAAUACCAUCAAGCAUCUUCUCUGACCACAGUGGAAUACAACUAGAAACUAAUAACAAGAGGAAUUUUUGAAACUACAAAUACAUGAAAAUUAAACAAUAUGCUCCUGAAUGACCAUUGAGUCAAUGAAGAAAUUAAGAAGGAAAUUGAACAAUUUCUUGAAACAAAUGAUAAAGGAAACACAACAUACCAAAACCUAUGGGAUACGGCAAAAGCAGUACUAAGAGGCAAAUUGAUAGCUAUAAGUGCCUACAUGAAAAAAGAGGAAAAACUUCAAAUAAGCAAUUUAACAAUGAACCUUAACCAGAAAAGCAAGAGCAAAACAAACACAAAAUUAGAAGAAAACAAAUAAUAAAAAUUAGAGCAUAAAUAAAUAAAAUUGAAAUAAAAAUCAAUGCAAAAGAACAAUGAAACAAAAAGUUGCUUUUUUUCAAAAGUUAAACAAAACUGACAAGCCUUUAGCAAGACUGAGAAAAAAGAGACAAGAUACAAAUCAGAAAUGAAAAAGACAUUACAACUGACACUGCAGAAAUUCAAAGGAUCAUUAGGGGCUACUAUGAGCAACUCUAUGCCAAUAAAUUGGAAAAUCUAGAAGAAAUUGACAAUUCCUAGACACAUACAACCUACUGAGACUGGACCAGGAAGAAAUCCAAAACCUGAACAGACUAAUAACAAGUAACAAGGUUGAAGCCAUAAUAAAAAGUCUCCCACUAAAGAAAACCAAGGACCCGAUGGCUUCACUGUUGAAUUCUACCAAACAUUUAAAGAAGAACUAAUACCAAUCCCACUCAAGCUAUUGAAAAAUAGAGGAGGAGAGAAUAUUUCCAAAGUCAUUCUAGGAGACCAGUAUCACCCUGAUACCAAAACCAGACAAAGACACAUCAAAAAAAGAAAACUGCUGGCCAAUUUCUCUGAUGAAUAUUGAUGCCAGAAUCCUCAGCAAAAUAUUAGCAAACUAAAUUCAACAAUACAUUAAAAAGAUCAUUCAUCAGGGUCGGGUGCAGUGGCUUAAGCCUCUAAUCCCAGCACUUUGGGAGGCCGAGGUGGGCAGAUCACCUGAGGUCAGGAGUUCAAGACCAGCCUGACCAACAUGGUGAAACCUCGUCUCUACUGAAAAUACAAAAUUAGCCGAGUGUGGUGGUGCAUGCCUGUAAUCCCAGCUACUCAGGAGACUGAGGCAGGAGAAUCACUUGAACCCAGGAGGUGGAGGUUGCAGUGAGCUGAGAUUGUGGCACUGCACUCCAGCCUUGGUGACAGAGUGAGACUCCAUUAAAAAAAAAAUCAUUUAUCAUGACCAAGUGGGAUUUAUCCCUGGAAUGCAAGGAUGGUUCAACACAUGCAAAUCAAUCAAUGUAAUACAUCAUAUCAAAAAGAAUGAUUAAAACCAUAUGAUUAUUUCUAUUGAUGCUGAAAAAGUAGUUUAUAAAAUCCAACAUCCCUUCAUGAUAAAAACCCUCAAAAAACUGUAUAAAAGAAAUAUACCUCAACGUAAUAGCCAGAUAUGACAGACCCACAGCUAGUAUCAUACUGAAUGGGGAAAAAGUGAAAGACUUUCCUAUAAGAUCUGGAACACAACAGGGAUGUUCACUGUCACCACUGUUAUUCAACAAAGUACUGGAUGUUCUAGCUAGAGCGAUCAGACAAGAGAAGAUAUAAAGGCCAUCCAAACUGGAAAGGGAGAAGUUAAAUUACCCUAGUUUGCAGAUGAUAUGAACUUAUAUUUGGAAAAAACCUAAAGGCUCCACAGGAAAACUAUUAGAAUCAAUAAAUUCAGUAAAGUUGCAGGACACAAAAUCAACAUAUAAAAACCAGUAGCAUUUCUAUAUGUCAACAGUGAACAAUUUGAAAAAUUUUAAAUUUAAGAAGGUAAUUUCAUUUACAAUAGCCACACAUAAAAUUAAAUACCUAGGAAUUAACCAAAAAUGUGCAAGAUAUCUAUGAGGAGAAUUAUAAAACAUUGAUGAAAGAAAUUGAAGAGGACACAAAAAAAAUGGAAAAAAUUCCAUCUUUAUGGAUUGGAAGAAUCAAUAUUGUUAAAAUGUCCAUACUACCCAAAGCAAUCUACAGAUUUAAUGCAAUCCCUAUCAAAAUACCAAUAAUAGUCUUCAGAGAAAUAGAAAAAAAAAUCCCAAAAUUUAUAUGAAAACACAGAAUGCCCAGAAUAGCCAAAAUUAUAUUAAGCAAAAAGAUCAAAACUGGAGGAAUCACAUUACCUGACUUCAAAUUAUGCUACAGAGCUAUAAUCACCAAAACAGCAUGGUACUGACAUAAAAACAGACACAUAGUCCAACAGAACAGAAUAGAGAACCUAGAAACAAAUCCACACACUCACAGGGAACUCAUUUUUGACAGAGUUGCCAAGUACUUAUACUGGAGAAAAGAAAAGACAGUCUCUUCAAUGAAAUGGUGCUGGGAAAACUGGAUAUCCAUAUGCAGAAGAAUGAAACUAGACCCCUACCUCUCACUGUAGACAAAAGUCAAAUCAAGGCUAGGCAUGGUGGCUUACACCUGUAAUCUCAGCACUUUGGGAGGCUGAGGCAGGCGUAUCACGAGGUGAAGAGAUUGAGACCAUCCUGACCAACAUGGUGAAACUCACCCCCCCCCACCCACUAAAAAUACAAAAAUUAGCUGGGCGUGAUGGCAUGUGCCUGCAGUCCUAGCUACUCAGGAGGCUGGGGCAGGAGAAUCGCUUGAACCCAGGAGGUGGAGGUUGCAGUGAGCUGAGAUUGUGCCACUGCACUCCAGCCUGGCGACAGAGCAAGACUCCAUCUCAAAAAAUAAAAAAUAAAUUCAAAAUGUAAUAAAGACUUAAAUCUAAGACCUCAAACAUGAAACUACUAUAAGAAAACAUUGGGGAAAACCUCCAGGACAGUAGUCUGGCCAAAAAUUUCUUGAGCAAUACCCCACAAGCACAGGCAACCAAAAUAAAACUGGACAAAUAGUAUCACAUCAAGUUUAAAAGCUUCUACAAAGCAAAGGAUACAAUCAAUAAAGAGACAACCCACAGAAUGGGAGAAAAUAUUUGCAAACUACCCAUCUGACAAAGAAAUAAUAACCAGAGUAUAUAAGAAGCUCAAACAACUCUAUAGUAAAAAAAAAAAAAAAAAAAAUUCUAAAAGUCUAAGUAAAAAAAUGGGCAAAAGAUUUGAAUAGACAUUUCUCAAAAGAAGACAUACAGGCCAUGCGUGGUGGCUCAUGCCUGUAAUCCCAGCACUUUGGGAGGCCCAGGCGGGUGGAUCACUUGAGGUCAGGAGUUCGAGACCAGCCUGACCAACAUUGUGAAACUCCGUCUCUACUAAAAAUACAAAAAUAAGCCAGGCAUGGUGGCGCACACCUGUAAUCCCAGCUACUCAGGAGGCUGAGGCAGGAGAAUCGCUUAAACCUGGGAGACAGAGGUUGCAGUAAGCCGAGAUCACACCACUGCACUCCAGCCUGGGCAACAAAGUGAGACUCCGUCUCACAAAAAAAAAAAAAAAAAAAAAAAAAAAAGAAAAGAAAAAGGAAGAAGACAUACAAAGCCAGGUACAGUGGCUUAUGCCUCUAAUCCUAGCACUUUAGGAGGCCAAGGCAGAUGGAAUUGAGCCCAGAAGUUUGAGACCAGACUGAGCAAUAUGGUCAAACCCCAAUUCUGCAAAAUACAAAAAUAAAAAAUAGCUGGGAGUGGUGGUGCACACCUGUAGUCCCAGCUACUUAGGAAGCUGAGAUGGGAGGAUCACUUGAGCCUGCAGUGAAUCAUAAUUGCACCAAUGCACUCCAGCCUGGGCGACAGAGUGAGAGACAUUGUCUCAAAAAAAAGAAAAAGAAAAAAAAGAAAGGACAUAAAAAUGACAAACAGGCAUAUGAAAAGGUGCUGAUGAUUAUUGAUCCUCAGAGAAAUGCAAAUCAAAACUGCAAUGAGAUAUAAUCUCACCCCAGUUAAAAUGGCUUAUAUCCAAAAGACAGGCAAUAACAAAUGCUGGUGAGGAUGUGGAUAAAAGGGAACCCUCGUACACUGUUGAUGGGAAUGUAAAUUAGUACAACCACUAUGGAUAACAGUUUAGAGGUUCCUCAGAAAACUAAAAAUUGAGUUGCGAUAUGAUGCAACAAUCCUACUGCUGGGUAUAUACCCCACAAAAGACAAAACCAGCGUUUUGCAUGGUGGCUCACACCUGUAAUCCCAGCACUAUGGGAGGCCGAGGAGGGCAGAUCACUUGAGCCCAGAAGUUCAAGACCAGCCCGAGCAACAUGGCAAAACCUGAUUUCUACAAAAUACAAAAAAAAAAUUAGGCAGUUGUAGUGGUUCACACCUAUAGUCCUAGCUACUGUGGAGGCUGAGGUAGGAUCACUUGAACCUAGGAGGUGGAGGUUGCAGUGAGCCAAGAUCAUGCCACUGCACUCCAGCCUGGGUGACAAAGUGUGACCCUGUCUCAAAAAAGAAAAUCAGUAUAUGGAAGAGGUAUCUGCACUCCUAUGUUUUUUACAACACUGUUUACAAUAGCUAAGAUUUGGAAGCAACCUAAAUGUCUAACAGCAGAUGAAUGGAUAAGGAAAAUUUGGUAUGUAUACACAAUGAAGUACUAUUCAGCCAUAAAAAGGAAUGAGAUCCAGUCAUUUGCAACAGCAUGGAUGGAAGUGGAGAUCAUUAUGUUAAAUGAAAUAAGCCAGGCACAGAAAGGCAAACAUGGCAUGUUCUCACUUAUUUGUGGGACCUAAAUUCAAAACAAUUGAACUAAUGGACAUAAAGAGUAGAAGAAUGGUUACCAGAGGCUAGGAAUGGUAGUGGGGGGCUGAAGGGAAGGUGGGGAUGUUUAAUCGGUAAAAAAAAAUUUAGAAGAAUAAGACCUACUAUUUGAUAGCACAAUAGGGGGACUAUAGUCAAUAAUGCACAUUUAAAAAUAGUGUAAUUGAAUGGUUUGUAACUCAAAGGAUAAAUGCUUGAGGGAAUGGAUACCCCAUUCUCCAUGAUGUGCUUAUUUCACAUUGCAUACCUGUAUCAAAACAUCUCAUGUACCCCAUAAAUAUAUGCAGCUAUUAUGUACCCACAAAAAUUGAAAAUCAAAAAUAAAAUAUUUUUUAAAAUGUAUUAUUAUUUGUCCUCUGUGAAUAAAACUCGCUUCUGGCCCUCCUUUUUAUAGGUAUUUAAAAGAAUGCAUUUAGGCAGAUCAAUGGCAUUAUAUAAUAUACAAAAACAAUAAAUCUUUUUUUUUUAAACAUAUCACAUUCAGCACAGCUGCUGAAGUUGGGGCUAAUUAUAGGUUACAUUUUCAUUAAUCCACUGUCAUCUGUUAUCAUCCAUCCAAUUUUUGCUAGAACUGGAGUGGUAAAUUCAAUAGUUGAUGAUGAAACCACAACCCCUGCAUCUUUUAUGUCUUUGAGUGACAGUUUAUUUCAUUGCCCCUCAAAUACUACAUUGUUUUAAAAUUUCUAUCUUGGUCGAUAUUAGAAGCUCUCUUAGGGGCAUCCACUUGGCCUUUCUUACUACAAAUCCUUUAUUCCACAGGUGAAAUGACUAAAGUGUGAGUGAAAUAACUAAUGUACAAAAUAAAUCCAUCAAUUACAUAUUUGGAAACCAGAAAAAUAACCACCAAGCAGAUGUGUGGACACAGAGAAUCCACGGAGAUACGGGUGGACCUGAGACAGGAAAUUAUUUUCAGUUCCCUGUGUGGCUCUCCUCUAAUAGAAGUCCAUGAGGGUGCUUUGGUUCCCCAGGUAUCAGUGUGAAAUUGGACCCUGUAUCCAAUAGACCUGAAAAUAUCUGGACAUUCCCCUUUAUCAGUGUCUUGAUACCUGAGUAAAUGGCCAUUGAUCCCUUUAGGGAAGGGUGUAGAAAGUGUCUACUGUACACACUUAUGGUGUUGCAGAUACUUCAUCAGGGGACGUGACUCUCCUUCAAUGAAUGGAUUCUGGAUCUAAGCACUGGCUCAGGUCUGGAAACUGGGCAAGGGAUUUUAAACUUCUAUUGGAGAAAUUAAUCUCAGACUUCAGCUCAUCUAUUUUUCAUCUAUUGAUUCUAAUAUUAAACAACAGUCUUAUAGGCUGCCCAACUAGAAACACCAUAGUCUUAAUAAUUUCCCUAAAUCCCUUGCAGUCAGGAUUUCCUGGCUUCCAUUCUAACAUUACUCACUAUUUUGGGGAUUUUGUCCAUUUUGAUUCUGCCUUGCUGCCAGCUGGCCUCUAGCUUUCUGGAAUCCUACUGUCCUAUUGUUGCUAGGGCACCAAGUUCUCCAAUAUCAUCUCAUAGAGUCAGCUCCAGCCCACAAAGGACAAAAUUAGGUUAAUACCCCGUUCACCUGCCCAUGACUUGCUGCCUGAUAAACAGAGUUUCCUUUGGGCCCUUCCAAAUAAACAGUCACCCAGUGCAUGAUCCAGUUUUAUAGAGUGUAUCUAUCUAUGCCAGCAUGCUCACUGCUCUGAGCCUUUUGGUCUCUUUCUCCACAAUCUGCCAUGGCAGCUCUGGCACAUCGAUUUUAUUUCAUGUGAGCCAUCAUUUUUCAUUAGAACAGUUUCAUUAAGAUAAAAUUCAUAUAUUAUUCAACCAUUUAAACUCAAUGGUUUUUAGCAUAUUUAUAGUGCAACCAUCACCACAAUCAAUUGUAGAACAUGUUCAUCACUCCAAAACUAUUUUUAGAACAUUUUCAUCACCCAUGUAUAUUUAUUCUCAGGCAGUCAUCCCCAUUUUUCCCUCCAACAUUUCCUCAGUCCUAGGCAACCACUAAUCUACUUUCUCUCUACAAAUUUAUUUCUUAUAGACAUUUCAUAUAAAUGAAAUAAUAUAAUGGAUGGUCUUUUGUGACUGGCGUCUUUCACAUAGCAUAAUGUUUUCAAGGUUCAUCCACAUUGCAGCAUUUAUUAGUACUGCAUUUCUUUUUAUGGCCAAAUAUUCCGUUCCAUAGAUUGACCAUAUCUUAUUCAUUCAUUUGUUCCUGG
rnacentral:lncRNA from 1 species